rnacentral:rRNA from 1 species
GACGAACGCUGGCGGCGUGCUUAACACAUGCAAGUCGAACGGGGUCCAACCUCUCGCAAGAGAGGGGAAGACCUAGUGGCGAACGGGUGCGUAACACGUGAGGAACCUGCCCCGAAGACCGGGACAACACCGGGAAACCGGUGCUAAUACCGGAUAUCCCCAUCGAAUCGCAUGGUUUGAUGAGGAAAUGGGUUCCGCUUUGGGAGGGCCUCGCGGCCUAUCAGCUUGUUGGUGAGGUAACGGCUCACCAAGGCUU